AGAACGAACGCUGGCGGCAGGCUUAACACAUGCAAGUCGAACGCGUGUAGCAAUACACGAGUGGCGCACGGGUGAGUAACGCGUGGAUAUCUGCCUUUUGGUUCGGAAUAACCCCGGGAAACUGGGGCUAAUACCGGAUGGUUCCUACGGGAUAAAGAUUUAUCGCCAAAAGAUGAGUCCGCGUACGAUUAGCUAGUUGGUGAGGUAAUGGCUCACCAAGGCGACGAUCGUUAGCUGGUCUGAGAGGACGAUCAGCCACACUGGGACUGAGACACGGCCCAGACUCCUACGGGAGGCAGCAGUGGGGAAUAUUGGACAAUGGGGGCAACCCUGAUCCAGCCAUGCCGCGUGAGUGAUGAAGGCCUUCGGGUUGUAAAGCUCGUUUUGGCGGGGACGAUGAUGACGGUACCCGCAGAUAAGCCCGGCUAACUUCGCGCCAGCAGCCGC
rnacentral:rRNA from 1 species